rnacentral:rRNA from 1 species
UACGUAGGAUGCAAGCGUUGUCCGGAUUUACUGGGCGUAAAGCGCGCGUAGGUGGCCCCGUAAGUCCGCUGUGAAAGUCAAAGGCUCAACCUUUGAAAGCCGGUGGAUACUGUGGGACUAGAGUACGGAAGAGGCGAGUGGAAUUCCUGGUGUAGCGGUGAAAUGCGCAGAUAUCAGGAGGAACACCAAUGGCGAAGGCAGCUCACUGGGACGGUAUUGACGCUGAGACGCGAAAGCGUGGGGAGCAAACAGG